AUGGCUUCUCCAGGGAGUGGACAUGGGAACCAUGAUGAUAAUGGAUCAGAAACACCAAAAGAUGUGCAAGAAACCGCAGCUACCAAUGCGAAAGAUCAUAUUAAUGAAAGAGUACCAAAGAUUGGAAUGAAUUUUUUAUCUGAUGAGGAGGCUUAUUCCUUUUAUAACAAGUAUGCUGAAGUUAUGGGUUUUAGCGUCCGGAGAGGCAGUAAGCAUAAAGUAAAGAACUCUGAUACAAUACAACAGAGGACAUAUUCUGUUCUCGUCAAGGUGUAUGAAUUUGAGGAGACACAUAACCACAUUCUUGCUACUGGAACCAUGGCCCAAUACUUGAGAUCUCACAGAAAAGUUAUCGAUUCAAUCGUCACUUGGAAAUACAAUCUCGAUGCAACAGAACCCAAGAAUGCUGGCAGGAUACCAACAAUACAAUACACUAAUGGUAUAAGCAUUCGACAUUGUCAAGUUUUUUUAUCACUUUGA
rnacentral:rRNA from 1 species